GACGAACGCUGGCGGCGUGCUUAACACAUGCAAGUCGAACGGAAAGGCCCUGCUUUUGUGGGGUGCUCGAGUGGCGAACGGGUGAGUAACACGUGAGUAACCUGCCCUUGACUUUGGGAUAACUUCAGGAAACUGGGGCUAAUACCGGAUAGGAGCUCCUGCUGCACGGUGGGGGUUGGAAAGUUUCGGCGGUUGGGGAUGGACUCGCGGCUUAUCAGCUUGUUGGUGGGGUAGUGGCUUACCAAGGCUUUGACGGGUAGCCGGCCUGAGAGGGUGACCGGCGACAUGGGGACUGAGAGACGGACCAGAAGCCUACGGGAGGCAGCGGUGGGGAAUAUUGCACAAUGGGCGGAAGCCUGAUGCAGCAACGCCGCGUGCGGGAUGACGGCCUUCGGGUUGUAAACCGCUUUCGCCUGUGACGAAGCGUGAGUGACGGUAAUGGGUAAAGAAGCACCGGCUAACUACGUG
rnacentral:rRNA from 1 species